GACGAACGCUGGCGGCGUGCCUAAUACAUGCAAGUAGAACGCUGAAGGAGGAGCUUGCUUCUCUGGAUGAGUUGCGAACGGGUGAGUAACGCGUAGGUAACCUGCCUGGUAGCGGGGGAUAACUAUUGGAAACGAUAGCUAAUACCGCAUAAUAUUGACUAUUGCAUGAUAGUCAGUUGAAAGGUGCAACUGCACCACUACCAGAUGGACCUGCGUUGUAUUAGCUAGUUGGUGGGGUAACGGCUCACCAAGGCGACGAUACAUAGCCGACCUGAGAGGGUGAUCGGCCACACUGGGACUGAGACACGGCCCAGACUCCUACGGGAGGCAGCAGUAGGGAAUCUUCGGCAAUGGACGGAAGUCUGACCGAGCAACGCCGCGUGAGUGAAGAAGGUUUUCGGAUCGUAAAGCUCUGUUGUAAGAAAAGAACGAGUGUGAGAGUGGAAAGCUCACACUGUGACGGUAUCUUAACAGAAAGGGACGGCUAACUACGUG
rnacentral:rRNA from 1 species